rnacentral:rRNA from 1 species
AUUGAACGCUGGCGGCAGGCCUAACACAUGCAAGUCGAACGGUAACAGGAAGAAGCUUGCUUCUUUGCUGACGAGUGGCGGACGGGUGAGUAAUGUCUGGGAAACUGCCUGAUGGAGGGGGAUAACUACUGGAAACGGUAGCUAAUACCGCAUAACGUCGCAAGACCAAAGAGGGGGACCUUCGGGCCUCUUGCCAUCAGAUGUGCCCAGAUGGGAUUAGCUAGUAGGUGGGGUAACGGCUCACCUAGGCGACGAUCCCUAGCUGGUCUGAGAGGAUGACCAGCCACACUGGAACUGAGACACGGUCCAGACUCCUACGGGAGGCAGCAGUGGGGAAUAUUGCACAAUGGGCGCAAGCCUGAUGCAGCCAUGCCGCGUGUAUGAAGAAGGCCUUCGGGUUGUAAAGUACUUUCAGCGGGGAGGAAGGGAGUAAAGUUAAUACCUUUGCUCAUUGACGUUACCCGCAGAAGAAGCACCGGCUAACUCCGUGCCAGCAGCCGCGGUAAUACGGAGGGUGCAAGCGUUAAUCGGAAUUACUGGGCGUAAAGCGCACGCAGGCGGUUUGUUAAGUCAGAUGUGAAAUCCCCGGGCUCAACCUGGGAACUGCAUCUGAUACUGGCAAGCUUGAGUCUCGUAGAGGGGGGUAGAAUUCCAGGU